rnacentral:lncRNA from 1 species
AUUUUUCUGCUGACUCUAGGUCCUCCUGAAUAUUUAGGCUGUCCUGCAUUGUUUGUACUCCUUUUCUUCCUUGCUUUUUCAUGUUGCUCAUGUUACUUCUUGUUCUGUCUGCCUGCUGAGUUACUGUUUACUCCUAUAAAUUUAUUUGAUGCUUAGGAGGAAAGGUAUUAGAAGGGAAGGGAAGAAGUCACUAAAGAGAAUGAGAGUAAGCAGGUAGAAUUCAAGGAAGGGGGAAUAAGGAAAUUGAAAAGACAAAAGAA